ensembl:lncRNA
GUGUGUUUAAUGCAGGUGUGUUAGUGUGUGUUAAUGCAGGUGUAUUAUUGUGUGUUAAUGCAGGUGUGUUAGUGUGUGUUAAUGCAGGUGUGUUAUUGUGUGUUAAUGCAGGUGUGUUAGUGUGUGUUAAUGCAGGUGUGUUAAUGCAGGUGUAUUAGUGUGUGUUAAUGCAGGUGUAUUAUUGUGUGUUAAUGCAGGUGUGUUAGUGUGUGUUAAUGCAGGUGUGUUAGUGUGUGUUAAUGCAGGAGUAUUAGUGUGUGUUAAUGCAGGUGUAUUAGUGUGUGUUAAUGCAGGUGUGUUAAUGCAGGUGUGUUAAUGCAGGUGUGUUAGUGUGUGUUAAUGCAGGUGUGUUAGUGUGUGUUAACGCAGGUGUGUUAGUGUGUGUUAAUGCAGGUGUAUCAUUGUGUGUUAAUGCGGGUGUGUUAGUGUGUGUUAAUGCAGGUGUGUUAGUGUGUGUUAAUGCAGGUGUAUUAGUGUGUGUUAAUGCAGGUGUAUUAUUGUGUGUUAAUGCAGGUGUGCUAUUGUGUGUUAAUGCAGGUGUGUUAGUGUGUGUUAACGCAGGUGUGUUAUUGUGUGUUAAUGCAGGUGUGUUAGUGUGUGUUAAUGCAGGUGUAUUAGUGUGUGUUAAUGCAGGUGUGUUAGUGUGUGUUAACGCAGGUGUGUUAGUGUGUGUUAUUGCAGGUGUAUUAGUGUGUGUGUUAAAGCAGGUGUAUUAUUGUGUGUUAAUGCAGGUGUAUUAUUGUGUGUUAAUGCAGGUGUGUUAGUGUGUGUUAAUGCAGGUGUAUUAUUGUGUGUUAAUGCAGGUGUGUUAGUGUGUGUUAAUGCAGGUGUGUUAGUGUGUGUUAAUGCAGGUGUGUUAAUGCAGGUGUAUUAUUGUGUGUUAAUGCAGGUGUAUUGUGUGUUAAUGCAGGUGUAUUAUUG